UAAACAAUUCUCUUUAUUUCUCUUGUCAAUUCCAUUUUACACAGUUAUUCGCAUUCGCAUUUUUUUUCCAACCACAACACAUUUUUUUACACAGCUGUCAGUUGUCAUUUUGACAUCGACGUUAGUGUGUUUUUCUCUAAACGUUCGGUGUGCGGUUGUGUUUUAUUUUAUAAUUUUAUGUUAAAAAAAAAGAAACUUUUGAUUUACUUAAAACAAAAAAAGAAGGAAAAAAACAUAGUUUUUUCUUCUUUAAAUAGAAGAUAUUUGUUUUGACUUUAAUUCCAAUUUGAUUAAGAAAUACGGGUUCUCCAUAUAAUAUUGGUUUUCCAAAAACCACAAAUUCAUUCAUAAAAUUGUGUGUGCCAAAAAGGAAAAAAAUUAAAUAAAAAGGAAAAAGAAAAUUCCAAAAACACAAGAAGGAAAAUACGAAAACGCCAAAAAAAAAAACACGUAGUGAAACGUAAAACAGAAAUAAAAACAACAAUUUACUUUGUGUCUGCUCGUGUAUUUCGUUAAAUCGUUGUGUGUUCUGUUUAAAUAUUUUGUGUUUUUUUCUUCGUUCUUUUCUGGAUUUGCAUUAUUUAUAAACUAUUAUUUCUUUUAAAUUCCAAAACUAAGAGUUGUUGUAUUCAAUCAUUUGUACCUAAAUAAAAGAAAAAUAUAAAUUUUCAUAGUUUUAACUUUUAAACAUCGUAAAAUAAAAUACAACUUUGAAAAACAUAAAACAUUCUUGUAAG
rnacentral:misc_RNA from 1 species